UACGAAGGGGGCAAGCGUUGUUCGGAAUUACUGGGCGUAAAGGGCGCGUAGGCGGUGCACUAAGUCAGGCGUGAAAGCCCUGGGCUCAACCCGGGAAUUGCGUUUGAUACUGGUGCGCUUGAAUCCAGGAGAGGUUGGUGGAAUUCCCAGUGUAGAGGUGAAAUUCGUAGAGAUUGGGAAGAACACCGGUGGCGAAGGCGGCCAACUGGACUGGUAUUGACGCUGAGGCGCGAAAGCGUGGGGAGCAAACAGG
rnacentral:rRNA from 2 species